rfam:Camelus ferus unplaced genomic scaffold scaffold667, whole genome shotgun sequence.
GAGGGUAUAGCUCAAGUGGUAGAGCACGUGCUUAGCAUGCACAGCGUCCUGGGUUCAAUCCCUGGUACCUCCU